rnacentral:rRNA from 1 species
UUUAAAAGAAGAACAUUUUCGAAGAGUAACUGUUCAGGUAUUGACGGUAUUUAACCAGAAAGCCACGGCUAACUACGUGCCAGCAGCCGCGGUAAUACGUAGGUGGCAAGCGUUGUCCGGAUUUAUUGGGCGUAAAGCGAGCGCAGGCGGUUUUUUAAGUCUGAUGUGAAAGCCUUCGGCUCAACCGAAGAAGUGCAUCGGAAACUGGGAAACUUGAGUGCAGAAGAGGACAGUGGAACUCCAUGUGUAGCGGUGAAAUGCGUAGAUAUAUGGAAGAACACCAGUGGCGAAGGCGGCUGUCUGGUCUGUAACUGACGCUGAGGCUCGAAAGUAUGGGUAGCAAACAGGAUUAGAUACCCUGGUAGUCCAUACCGUAAACGAUGAAUGCUAAGUGUUGGAGGGUUUCCGCCCUUCAGUGCUGCAGCUAACGCAUUAAGCAUUCCGCCUGGGGAGUACGGCCGCAAGGCUGAAACUCAAAGGAAUUGACGGGGGCCCGCACAAGCGGUGGAGCAUGUGGUUUAAUUCGAAGCUACGCGAAGAACCUUACCAGGUCUUGACAUACUAUGCAAAUCUAAGAGAUUAGACGUUCCCUUCGGGGACAUGGAUACAGGUGGUGCAUGGUUGUCGUCAGCUCGUGUCGUGAGAUGUUGGGUUAAGUCCCGCAACGAGCGCAACCCUUAUUAUCAGUUGCCAGCAUUAAGUUGGGCACUCUGGUGAGACUGCCGGUGACAAACCGGAGGAAGGUGGGGAUGACGUCAAAUCAUCAUGCCCCUUAUGACCUGGGCUACACACGUGCUACAAUGGAUGGUACAACGAGUUGCGAACUCGCGAGAGUAAGCUAAUCUCUUAAAGCCAUUCUCAGUUCGGAUUGUAGGCUGCAACUCGCCUACAUGAAGUCGGAAUCGCUAGUAAUCGCGGAUCAGCAUGCCGCGGUGAAUACGUUCCCGGGCCUUGUACACACCGCCCGUCACACCAUGAGAGUUUGUAACACCCAAAGUCGGUGGGGUAACCUUUUAGGAACCAGCCGCCUAAGGUGGACAGAGAUGGGAU